UAACACAGGCUCCUCUGCUGUUGAGCUAAAAUCUGCCAAUCAGAUCCAGUGUUGUCAGUCAUUUUCAGGAGUAUCUGCAAAGACGCAGGUCACAACAGACUGAGCUUACUCACAUAUAUCGAUCCACCAAGGCCGG